rnacentral:rRNA from 1 species
CCCUUAGAUGUUCUGGGCCGCACGCGCGCUACACUGACGAAUGCAACGAGCUUAUAACCUUGGCCGAAAGGUCUGGGUAAUCUCCAAAUUUCGUCGUGAUGGGGAUAGAUUAUUGCAAUUAUUAAUCUUCAACGAGGAAUGCCUAGUAAGCGCAAGUCAUCAGCUUGCGUUGAUUACGUCCCUGCCCUUUGUACACACCGCCCGUCGCUCCUACCGAUUGAAUGGUCCGGUGAAGCGCUCGGACCGCGGCCUCUUGACGGUUUUCCGUCGAUUGGCUGUGGGAAGUUCGUUAAACCUUAUCAUUUAGAGGAAGGAGAANUCGUAGCA